rnacentral:lncRNA from 1 species
CCACUGCUUACUAUUUUAGUAUCCCUGUGCUGCAUUUUACAGGAUUGCAAACAAAUUUUGGACUGGACGCAUAUAUAUGUUUGUUCUUACCGUUACUUUUUGCAGGUUAUCGUGUAAACUAAAAGUACAACAGAAACACUGAUGAACAAGAUAGGUAAGCAUUUUCAAGUACAGCCUGCAAAACGAGGCUAAAAGCUCAAUUGAGGAAUCUGUCUUGAAUGAGUAAAGUCCAAAUCAUACCCAAAACAAAUAACAAGAAGAUGCAGAGUUGUUUGAGAACCUGAUUAUUGUGAGAGGAAUGACCGUGUUCGAGAAGCGGCGCUUGUUCCUCCGCUGAAACCAUGGAUUUGUUCCUCGGAGCCUUGUUUCUCCGAUGGAAGAGGAGGAAGGAGACGUGAUAACGCCGGGAGAAAAAGGAGAGCUAGUUGAUAGAAACAGGGGAAAUGAGGUGAGGAAUCUUCAGAUGGCGUGUCGUCGUUGUAAAAAGGAGUAUCAGCCAUAAACAACUACCUCAUUUUAUCCGGGAGCAGUUUAAAAUCCAAACAAAUAAGUUUCAGGA